GGAGGAGUUCAGUAGUUGGAGAAGGACAUUGUAGACAGAGGGAGUUGCAAGUCAGAUGGAACAGUGUGCCAGGGAUGGAAUGGAGGAAGACAGAGCUGGACAGACAGGCCAGGGCUAGACUCUGGAACCACAAGGAGGGGCUUUUUCUAAUACUGAUAGUCUGGAAAUCAACUGGCAUCAUAAUUCUAACAAGGAGGCAAGGUUUCAGUCUAUCAACCAGACUGGAGUUCAGAGAUGCCAUCAUAGCUCACUGAAGCCUUGAAUGCUUGGGGACAAGAGAUCUUUCUCCUUCAGCCUGUUGAGUAGCUGGGACUUCAGGUAUGUACCAGAAUGCCUGGCUAAUUUGAAUUAUUUUUUAUUUUUAUUUUGGUAGAGAUGAAUUUUCACUAUGUUGUCCAAGCUGGUCUGGAACUCCUGACUUUAAGUGUUCCUCUUGUCUUGACCUCCCAACUUGCUGGGAUUACAUGAGCUAGCAUGCCUAGCCUUGAUAUUUCUUUUUUAAAAAGGCACUUGUAUUGUCUAACACCUAUGGCUAGAGGAUGAACAUUUGGUCAAGGAUCAACAUUUGGCCUCUGAAUAUAAGUGUCUAUUUAGUUAAUCAAGAUGGGCAUCACAUUUCAGGAGACUGGUGGGUUUCUUCUAGAUGAAAAGGUCCUUGGAGACCCUCUAUUCUAACUUUCCACAUCCCAGAGAAGAGACCUGUCCAUCAGAGAGCACCUGGCAUCCUCCCAGAUUCAGGCACUUACUCAGGGAGCAGAAUUGGGCUGUUCCUGUAGCCCAGCUUGCAUGGUCCAAGAUGGUUGAGUUCCAAAGUUGAGCAUUUAAAAUAUCAAAUUCUGAGGGGAAUUUCCUCAGAGUUUGGUGCCACAAAGUGCCCUCCUAAGAAUGGACAUACAUAUUUCCCAGCACCUCCCUUUGAAGCUCCUGGGCUGGUUAUUUUUAAAAAGUACAGAUUUACAGGAUCCCACCUAUAUCUAAAGAAUCAGAAUCCUGGAACAGGGACUAGAAAUUUGUAUCUUCAUAAGCAUCUUCUGUGAUCUUUAUUUACACUCAGGUUUGACAACUGCUACCCUAGGACAAGUACAGAUUUUUUGCAGUUGCUUCUGAUAAUCAAUCCAUGCCCUAACACCCUGCUGGGUCUCCCAGCUCACUCUCCUGUGGCCCUGCUUUCUAUCUCUGGCUCUUCAUCUUUUCAGUGCCUGAGCAUUUUUCCUCUUCCUUUUCUCUCCCCUUCUCUUUGUUGCUCUUUUGUGCUUUCAUUUUUUGUCUCUCUUUUCUUCUUCCUCUGUUUGUUAUUUACUCUUUCCCUUGCUCCCUGCCCCACCCAGACCAUUCCAAAGUGGUGCUGGGAUAUGGAGGAGGAGCCAAAGGCAGUGAGUUGAGCCCGGGCACUCAGAG
rnacentral:lncRNA from 1 species